UCAAGCUUGCUUGGUGGUGAGAGUGGCGAACGGGUGAGUAAUGCGUGACCAACCUGCCCCAUACACCGGAAUAGCUCCUGGAAACGGGUGGUAAUGCCGGAUGUUCCGCACCGUCGCAUGGUGGUGUGGGAAAGGGUUUACCGGUAUGGGAUGGGGUCGCGUCCUAUCAGCUUGUUGGUGGGGUGAUGGCCUACCAAGGCGUCGACGGGUAGCCGGCCUGAGAGGGCGACCGGCCACAUUGGGACUGAGAUACGGCCCAGACUCCUACGGGAGGCAGCAGUGGGGAAUAUUGCACAAUGGGCGAAAGCCUGAUGCAGCGACGCCGCGUGCGGGAUGACGGCCUUCGGGUUGUAAACCGCUUUUGAUUGGGAGCAAGCGAGAGUGAGUGUACCUUUCGAAUAAGCACCGGCUAACUACGUGCCAGCAGCCGCGGUAAUACGUAGGGUGCAAGCGUUAUCCGGAAUUAUUGGGCGUAAAGAGCUCGUAGGCGGUUCGUCGCGUCUGGUGUGAAAGUCCAUCGCUUAACGGUGGAUCUGCGCCGGGUACGGGCGGACUGGAGUGCGGUAGGGGAGACUGGAAUUCCCGGUGUAACGGUGGAAUGUGUAGAUAUCGGGAAGAACACCAAUGGCGAAGGCAGGUCUCUGGGCCGUUACUGACGCUGAGGAGCGAAAGCGUGGGGAGCGAACAGGAUUAGAUACCCUGGUAGUCCACGCCGUAAACGGUGGAUGCUGGAUGUGGGGCCCGUUCCACGGGUUCCGUGUCGGAGCUAACGCGUUAAGCAUCCCGCCUGGGGAGUACGGCCGCAAGGCUAAAACUCAAAGAAAUUGACGGGGGCCCGCACAAGCGGCGGAGC
rnacentral:rRNA from 1 species